rnacentral:tRNA from 1 species
AGAGAGGUGGCCGAGUGGUUUAAGGCGCACGCUUGGAAAGCGUGUAUACGUUAAUAGCGUAUCGAGGGUUCGAAUCCCUUCCUCUCUGCAA